UCACACUGCUGGUUACCAAAAUAACAAAAAGCACAUUUUCUGAAAAACAAAUUCGAUUAUGUUAAUUCAAGCGUACAAAUCUUAAGUAAAACGAUACACACUCAUGGCGGAUACUGGUCGUGUCAAUUGCAGUACGAGUACAAAGCGAAUUCUACACUUGUGUUGCAUGCGUAAGUACAACACAUUGAGCGUCCACGUUGUGACUGGCAUGCUCUCCUCCUGCUGGAAAAGUUUUAUGGCACGUGGAUCGGUAACACUCGCACCAAGCCGGAAAGGAACGAAGAGCUGUAGAGUGAAGAAUUUCAUCCACGGGGACAUGUCUUUGUGGUCGUCUUUGAGCCUUUCUGCCGCAGUACUUUCUGCGAAUCGCUUCCGAUCGCUGUAUUGACGCUGAGAUUCAGCUGCACUGCCCGUGCAUGAAAUGGCAACGAAAUGUCUCUCUCCGCAUAUGCAAAGAAAAAUGCAACGCUCCAGGGACAUCUGUCUCCAUACAGGACUGUAUGGCGAUACGAACCAUAUGUAUGUCAUUCUCUGAACGAUCUUGAAUAGUUGGCUUGCGCCGACUGUGGCUGGCCAAGUUGGUCACCCAGGCAAUUACAGCACUUUAGUAUCUGUUUGGACAGUCGAUUAGGUGAAAAGAAAAUCGAAAAGGUUCUCGACAUCAUGGUGCUGGAUAACUAUGGAAGGAUGGCGGGUCGUUCCAGGAAAACGUGCCUUUACGUUGUACGACAUGAGCCACUCCUAAUUGUGCUGCUACAGGAUUACUAGCUCUACACCGAGUAGCCAAAUUCCCAGCUGAGAGUGAUGCCGAUUCGAAUGAAGGCUCAGGUUAAGAUUCGA